CCUACGGGUGGCAGCAGUGGGGAAUAUUGCGCAAUGGGCGAAAGCCUGACGCAGCGACGCCGCGUGAGGGAUGAAGGUCUUCGGAUCGUAAACCUCUGUCAGCAGGGAAGCACGGUCACUGUGCUAAUCAGCAGUGAAUUGACGGUACCUGCACAGGCAGCACCGGCUAACUCCGUGCCAGAAGCCGCGGUACUACGGAGGGUGCGAGCGUUAAUCGGAAUUACUGGGCGUAAAGCGCUCGUAGGCGUUCUGUCAAGUGAAGUGUGAAAUCCCCGGGCUCAACGGGGGAACUGCCUUUGAAACUGGCAAACUGGAGUGUGUGAGAGGAUAGUGGAAUUCCAGGUGUAGCAGUGAAAUCCGUAGAUAUCUGGAGGAACAUCAGUGGCGAAGGCGACUAUCUGGCACAUAACUGACGCUGAGGAGCGAAAGCGUGGGUAGCAAACAGGAUUAGAUACCCGUGUAGUC
rnacentral:rRNA from 1 species